rnacentral:rRNA from 1 species
AAGUUCUUUCUCGUAGGUGACCUGCGGAGGGUCAUUA